rnacentral:rRNA from 1 species
AACAGGGUGUCAGAGAGGGUGAGAGUCCCGUCUUUAACCGUGAGCCGCGCCCAUGUGAAGCUCCUUCGACGAGUCGGGUUGUUUGGGAAUGCAGCUCAAAAUGGGUGGUAAAUUUCAUCUAAAGCUAAAUACCGGCCAGAGACCGAUAGCGCACAAGUAGAGUGAUCGAAAGAUGAAAAGCACUUUGAAAAGAGAGUUAAACAGCAUGUGAAAUUGUUGAAAGGGAAGCGCUUGCAACCAGACUUGUGGGCAGCAGUUCAGCCGUUAUUCUUAACGGUGCACUCUGUUGUUUCCAGGCCAGCAUCGGUUUAGGUAGUUAGUUAAAGGCUCAGAGAAUGUAUCUGUUCUUCGGGGCAGACUUAUAGCUCUGGGUGACAUCUGGCUUACCUGGACCGAGGAACGCGCUUCGGCACGGAUGCUGGCGUAAUGGUUGUAAGCGGCCCGUCUUGAAACACGGACCAAGGAGUCUAACAUCUAUGCGAGUGUUUGGGUGUCAAACCCAUGCGCGUAAUGAAAGUGAACGGAGGUAGGAGCCUGUGGGCGCACUAUCGACCGAUCCUGAUGUCUUCGGAUGGAUUUGAGUAAGAGCAUAGCUGUUGGGACCCGAAAGAUGGUGAACUAUGCCUGAAUAGGGUGAAGCCAGAGGAAACUCUGGUGGAGGCUCGCAGCGGUUCUGACGUGCAAAUCGAUCGUCAAAUUUGGGUAUAGGGGCGAAAGACUAAUCGAACCAUCAGUAGCUGGUUCCUGCCGAAGUUUCCCUCAGGAUAGCAGUAACGUUUUCAGUUUUAUGAGGUAAAGCAAUGAUUAGCGGCCUUGGGGAAGUAACUUCCUUAACCGAUUCUCAAACUUUAAAUAUGUAAGAAGUCCUUGUUACUUAAGUGAACGUGGACAUUUGAAUGUAUCGUACUAG